rnacentral:rRNA from 1 species
GACGAACGCUGGCGGCGUGCUUAACACAUGCAAGUCGAACGUGAUUUUUGUGGAAAUUCUUUCGGGAAUGGAAAUGAAAUGAAAGUGGCGAACGGGUGAGUAACACGUGAGCAACCUACCUUACACAGGGGGAUAGCCGUUGGAAACGACGAUUAAUACCGCAUGAGACCACAGAAUCGCAUGAUAUAGGGGUCAAAGAUUUAUCGGUGUAAGAAGGGCUCGCGUCUGAUUAGCUAGUUGGAAGGGUAAAGGCCUACCAAGGCGACGAUCAGUAGCCGGUCUGAGAGGAUGAACGGUCACAUUGGAACUGAGACACGGUCCAAACUCCUACGGGAGGCAGCAGUGGGGAAUAUUGCACAAUGGGGGGAACCCUGAUGCAGCGACGCCGCGUGAGCGAAGAAGGUUUUCGAAUCGUAAAGCUCUGUCCUAUGAGAAGAUAAUGACGGUAUCAUAGGAGGAAGCCCCGGCUAAAUACGUGCCAGCAGCCGCGGUAAUACGUAUGGGGCGAGCGUUGUCCGGAAUUAUUGGGCGUAAAGGGUACGUAGGCGGUUUUUUAAGUCAGGUGUGAAAGCGUGAGGCUUAACCUCAUUAAGCACUUGAAACUGGAAGGCUUGAGUGAAGGAGAGGAAAGUGGAAUUCCUAGUGUAGCGGUGAAAUGCGUAGAUAUUAGGAGGAAUACCGGUGGCGAAGGCGACUUUCUGGACUUUUACUGACGCUCAGGUACGAAAGCGUGGGGAGCAAACAGG